rnacentral:lncRNA from 1 species
AUUUGGAUUUAGUUCUUAGAGACGGUCUCUAUCAUUUGUAUAAUGAUGUAUAUGUGAACUUAAUUGAUCGAGUAAUGAAUGUCAUUGGAUCUGAGAGAUCCAGAAUUGAGAUAAAAUUUAAAGUAUAUGUGGACCCUUAUGGCUAAGUUAUAUUGGAGAAGAAAUAAUUAACAAACUGAAGAAUUAUGGACUUUUAGACUCAUUG